rnacentral:rRNA from 1 species
AGUGAACGCUGGCGGUAGGCCUAACACAUGCAAGUCGAACGGCAGCACAGUAAGAGCUUGCUCUUACGGGUGGCGAGGGGCGGACGGGUGAGGAAUACAUCGGAAUCUACUUUUUCUUGGGGGAUAACGUAUGGAAACUUACGCUAAUACCGCAUACGACCUACGGGUGAACGUAGGGGAUCUUCGGACCUUGCGCGAUUGAAUGAGCCGAUGUCGUAUUAGCUAGUUGGCGGGGUAAACGCCCACCAAGGCGACGAUCCGUAGCUGGUCUGAGCGGGUGAUUCGCGAGAUUGGAUCAGAGCAUCGGUCCAGACUCCGACGCGAGGACGCAGCGCGCAUAUUGGACAGUGGGCGCAGGCCUGAUCCAGCCAUACCGCGUGGGUGAAGAAGGCCUUCGGGUUGUAAAACCCUUUUGUUGGGAAAGAAAAGCAGCAGGUUAAGACCCCGAUGUUCUUACGGUAACCAAAAAAUGAGCCCCCGCUAACUUCGUG